AGCUGCCAAUUUAUGUAGAAACAUAACGAUUUCGAGUCACUGAGUCGCAUUCUGCGUAAUGAAAUACAUUUUUGGGGAAUUAAGGAAUCUUUGGAAGGCAGCUAGUCUAUAAGAGAGACUGGUGUGAAGAUUUGUGACGAUGUCCAUCCUGCACCACUGACCAUUCGUCAAAUAAACCAUCUUCGAGCCAUUUAAUGUGAAAUUUGACACUUACACGCCCCCCUCCUUUGGUAAAAAAAAAGUAAACUAUACGUCACUAAUAACCCAAAAAUCAUUAUUUUAACUUCAUCUAUUUCUCGUAAUUAUUCCUCGAUGCUAAAGAUUUCAUCUCAAAAAUUAAGAAUGCUUGUCUCUCAAAAUGUCUCAUACCUCGCCGGUGAAACCAGAAAAAAACGCAAGCAUAUAGAAAAAAAUGGCAGAUAGUAUUUCUUUGAAAAAAAAAUAAAUAAAAGAAAGUGGAAAUUUUGACGAUAAAUCGUUUUGACCGAGAUGAAGUAAUAAACUGCAUCUCAUUAUUCCAUAUUUAGUAUUUCAUUUUUCUCAACGUUGAUGCGUAGAAAAAUAUUGGAUGUGAGAGGUUAUUGAUGUCCCUUGACGAAUGCGUAAUGCCUUUACCUCCUUGCCACUUGCUAGUCGUUGUUGUGAGCUCUGACCUAUACAAACGACACCCUAUUUUGCCGUUCUGCAGCCACAGGACUCGUUGACUGUCACUGUAAUACUCGUAUAAAAAAGAGAUUAUUGUGGUUAAUCAUUGAUUACCGCCGAUGCAGUAUAUCUUUGAGUUUUUCGUUUUCAGAACAAUUAUUUCUCUCCUUGUUUGCAGAGGGUCUUGCGAAAUUCAUGGAGGAAGGAGUGAAUGACGAUCCGGCCUUUAAAAAAUACACUUUGUGUAUGUUGAAAAUAUGCAAGGGGUAAGUAACAUCCUACGAUAUAUUAAAAUCUGAAGGCUAGUCAUUUAAAUUCCACAUUCAAAUUGCAAGUUUGCAUUUGCUCUAGGUCACAUACAUUUCUGUCAAUUUGCGGUUCAGAUGAAUGAACUAAGAAUGUUCAUAGUUACCAUUUCGAUAAAAUCUUAGCAUAUUUUACAAUAUCGUGGAUAACAGAACGCUCUUUUAAC
rnacentral:lncRNA from 1 species